CCUACGGGUGGCUGCAGUGAGGGAUAUUGGUCAAUGGGGGAAACCCUGCACCAGCAACGCCGCGUGAGGGCAGACGGUCUUCGGAUUGUAAACCUCUGUCCUCUGGGAAGACAAUGCCGGUAGCUGAUCAGGAAGCUCCUGCUAACUACGUGCCAGCAGCCGCGGUAAUCCGUCGGGAGCAAGCGUUAUACGGAUUUACUGGUUGUAACGGGAGCGUAGGCGGCGGUGCAAGUCAGAAGUGAAAUCCAUGGGCUUAACCCCUGAACUGCAUUUGAAACUGUAGUGCUUGAGUGACGGAGAGGCAGGCGGAAUUCCGGGUGUAGCGGUGAAAUGCGUAGAGAUCGGGAGGAACACCAGUGGCGAAGGCGGCCUGCUGGGCUUUAACUGAUGCUGAGGCACGAAAGCGUGGGUAGCAAACAGGAUUAGAUACCCGAGUAGUC
rnacentral:rRNA from 1 species